rnacentral:tRNA from 1 species
GGUGGCUCAGUGGCAAGAGUGCUUGCCUUGCAUGCAUGAGACCCUGGGUUCGAUUCCUCAGCACCA